GACAGUGCCCCGCUUCCGUUGAGGAGCAAGUUUAAGAACGUCGGGUACGUUGUCCGCUCGUUGAAACCGAUAGAUACCCAGUUUCUCUUGUCUUGCUGAGCGUAGACAUGCGCUUGAAUUCCGAGUUUCAGAAAGUCCAGCGAUGUGCUCAAGGCGAGAGCCUGAAGCUUCCUUCUGAACACGCACGACAGGUGCACUCGGCGAACGCGAACGGGUCUGGAAAACAGCGACCUGACGCUGGGUAGUAGGGAACGAGCAACCCACGGUCGCUGUGCUUGGAGCUGGACGCACGUUAUACCCGCGGUGCUGCAAAACCUGCGAAAGUGGUUCCAUCUGGAGCUCAUGAGCGAACGCGAGUUGGGCAGCGCUAUUCGAGUUCCUUUCAAAGAACACCGCCCACAGCCCAGCCUGAGUUUAAGUGGCAUGCUCCGUGACGAGAGCGACCGCCAAGGCACUCUACACCAAAACUACAGCCUUGCGAGUGCUCACGACCAGUCUAGCAGAUUUGGGGGACGCGGACGCUCUGUCUCGCUUUAUGGAUACGGGUCCAGUCUGACUCGGUGUGCAUGGAAGACCUUCCGUGAAAAAUGCGUCAGGCACCAUGUCGCACAACGUUCGAUGCUCAUGUUAGCUCCGGAUUUCCCUGCACAAUCUGUUAAGGUUGUGGACUGCUCCCGUUUCUCUGGAAUGAGGCGGGCAAUGUGAAAAUGCAUUGGCUGCAUCGUUCCUGUUUUCGGAAGAAAACACUGGAAAAGAAACAACGCACAAGCAGAGUUGCUCAGCUGCUGCAGCUGCAUUUCCCGCGGGAGCAUUCUACAACUAUAUCGUGACGCCACCUGUGGCGACGAUAUGCCUCAACAAGAAUGAAUGCAGCCAAGGCGGAGAGCGGGACGCGUGAUCAGCGGCGAGAAAAUUCCGCUGGACACAAACACGGCCGGCAACGCAGCUGUCUAGGCCGGUCGUCCACGAAGUGUCGAAGGAUACGUGCAGCGCUAUGGAUGCGCGUCCAUGCGAGCACCGUUUGCGUACAUGAAUAGAGGAAAUCGAUCAUUCGAUAACAGGGCUCUUCGCACCGGGACCUGUGGGCUGCACGCGCGAGGAAGCACUUGUCCCCAAGCCGCAUCACAUGGCAUGUCUUGCCGAAAUGCUAGGAACUUGUGAGCGGAGUCUGCGGCGCACAUACGUCCAUUGCCGCCUUUGCACCGGUGCUGAAACUUGAUCACUGGAACUGCACCGCAACGGUGCCUCGGGAGAAUGCGUCUGGCUCAAGGCAACAAUCACACGGAGCCUGGCACGUCCAUUAAAGAAACCAAACUGUGGUCAAUGCGCAGACCAGUGCAAUAAUGACGUAGGUUAGCAGUCGAUCGACGCUCUCCAGCAUGGUUUCCGUCGUAGCUGUCGUCCGCGAAUCGUGGGGCAUGCUCUUUUCUGUCGAGCUGCAGUCUGAUGCGCUCGAAUGCCUUGCCGUUUCGGGCACUUGCAUCGCUGGCAGCAUCAGCUGGCUCCCAGACGCCUGCGCUUCUUUCUCAUGAUGCCAUGAGGUCGACGCCUCUGGAAGCUCCUCUGGAGCUGCAGGCGUCGUGGGCAUCGCAGACGCUAUUGGCUCGGUUCCCGGUGAGGCAGCUGGCUCGUGCGAAAUGCACCGGCUCUCGUGCCCAUCAGUGCCCGGGAGGUUUCCCACAUAUCCCUCGUUGCUUGUCUCUUCAGAUGAGACCCGGUGGGCUUCAGCCGAAGUGGACGCUGAACUCUUCCAACUGCUAUGGUCCAUACCACACCGGGCACAAGACCAGCGUCGCGAGGCGCACGCCAGCUGACGACGUUCUUCCUCAGUAAAGUCGAGGGCCCCGACAGCACCAUCUCCGCGAGUAGGCAUAAAUCCAAUCAGCGCCGUCAGGAUAGUACGUAUUCCCCAACUUGGCUGCCAGGUCUCCACGUGGUGCUGGGUCACGCUGAGGCAGAUGCGUUUCCCCGUUUCGAAGCGACCGUUCGGUGUCAGGAGCAUGAUUUCCGGCGGCUUAUACGGGUACUCGGGAGGAAGCAGUAUUCUUCCGUGGUAGAGUCCUUCCUCAAAGGGUGAGUCCGCGGGG
rnacentral:misc_RNA from 1 species